AAAAAAAAAAAAAAAAAAAAAAAAAAAAAACCACUAACUAUAAAUCUAUAAAAUUGAGAAAUACGGAGUAUAUUUGAAAAUUGAAAUAAAUUACAAAUUCAAACCUUAUGAACCUAUUUGACAUGCAUAUUUUACACCAAUCCUACAAAAGUUCAAAAUUCAAGACAUAAAUUGCGAAUUCCAAGCUUACCGACCUAUUUGUAACUGAAGUUGCAUUCUUCUACAAGUCUAUACUCCGACAUAGAAGUAGGAAGGAAAAACACCCUUUUCUUAAAGAGUCAACUUAUUGCUCGUAACUUCAUUGUUACACUUUCGUAACAUGGGCCAACAUUCUCAAAUUUAAUCACUUUUUUGGGUGAAUUAUUUCAUAAUUUAUUGAUUUACAACCUCAGAACUACACUCAAAAUUGUACACCACAUAAUAUUUAUAAUAAUGUGUGUUAUCCACCAAUAAUUUCGGAGUAAAUGCCAUUCAAAUUUCUUUAGGAAACUCAUGAAAGAGAGAUGUCCCGCAACUGAAGAUAAUCAUACUCCAUAUCACUUUAUCACUUACCCAAACCAACAUUCGAGUACUCUCAUCGUUACAAAAUACUACGGUACUGUUCUAUAAUGUUACUCAAUUUUUCAUUAUGUACGACCAAUGUACAACUUUAACCAUUAAUAGUUUUAAUUUUGCUUUAUUAGAAAUUACAAAGAAAUGAUAUUUAGAAAGGUACAUUGAAAGUAAUCCAAAUAGAUCCAACAAGUUAAUAUUUUAAUAUUAUAUAUAAUUACGGAUUAAAGUUUAAAAAAUUUUGACCAGAUGAAUAGUAAACAUGAGGAACAUGAAACGGAAGAAGUAAUAGUUUCACAUUUUACUUUUUAUAAAACGAGACUUGAAGAAAACCAAAAAAUCCUAAUUGCCCACCGCUUGCUCGCUGGUGGUCGCAACCUUAACGGCCGCCGGUGAGCUUGCGUCUCAGCGGUGAAGUAGUAUAAUUAAGGUGUAUUUGUAGUUGUUGGGGUCCUUCUCCGACGACGAAGAAGAAGAGCAAUUUCACCUUUCCCUUGCUCGAAGUGGGGAGAAGUUCAUUCGGUGGGAGGUCCUAAACUUUGUGUCCUGUUCUAAGGCUUACCCGAGCGCCGCCGUAGAGAAUCUCAUCGGUAAAAGGUAAAGUUUGGGGUAAGGGGUUCUUGUUUAGGAUAGGAAGUUGGUUUUUAUGGGUUGUUUCCUCUGUUUGUCCAGGAAUUUUAGAGUCUGUUAAUACCACAACUAACCUCGUCGUCGUCGUAUCUUAGUAUCGAAAAAAUCCCGAUCUUAACGGUAAAGGUAAUGAUUAGGUAAAGGUUUCUGGUUUGAUAUUAAUUUAGAUUAAUUCUGGUUGUGGCUUGUUCUUUUUUGUCUCUCCCUGUUUUGGUUCAGCAUUUGUGGUUUAGGUGGAAAUGCUUAGUUAUUUUAUUUUCAUGUUUGUCGUAAGUGUGCUACUUUGCAAUGUACUUGAAAGUUUUCAGGUUUGGUUUGUUGAGUCAAGUAUGUCCUUGUGGAUUUCUCAAGUGUGGUGGGUUAUAUGUCCAUUGUGUGUUUGGUCCUUGUUGUGGAAGGCAUACGCUGUAGGUUUGGGUUUAUAUGUUAUCCGAGUCAUGUUAAAUCCGGGUUAGCCGACCUAAGGGCUCAUUUAUGCCUUGGUGUGGUUUAUACUGCUGUUAAAGGUGGUAUACCAGGGUCUAGGAUGGAGGAAGAGGGUUAUGAGGGUGACUGUGGGAGGAGUUCUUGGUUUUCUCGAGACAUGAUUGUUAAGUUUAGGUUUGUAAUGAGUUGUAUUCUCGUUGCAUUCAAAAUCUCAUAUAUGAAGACUGCUCCCCAAAUGGAAUAUUUGGGGUUCAUAGCAUGUUCUAAUUUGAUUCUCCCCUUGUCUAACCGGGGGAAAUUUGGAGUACCUGAGUCAUUUUUCGUGGCUCAGUUUGGUUGUGGGCAUUUCACCCUGCUCACAAGGUCGUUAAUUUUAACCUUUUUGAGAUUUUAUCGUCCUUUCGUUUCUUCCUUUGUCUUUUAAGUGCCAUAGGUUUAUAAGGAUUCACCUCAGUGGGUUAUGCCCAAGGUUCCGCACAAGUGGAAUGGAAAAUGUGGGAGUGCAAGGUGGCCAAUAAUUAAACUGUUGGCUACAUCUCCGGUUAAGGGUAUUGUGCAAGGCUUUGUAAGAGCUAGUAAAGCUCACUGUAGUAGCUUCGAAUGUGUAAGGGUUUUGUAUGGCCCCGGAGCUUUUGUAAUAUUUUGUUGUACUUUCUGAACUAUGUUUUUCAAUGUAUGUUUAGCCUAUAUGUCAAAAAAAAAAAAAAAAACAGACUUGAAAUUUUUAACAAAAUAUUAUCAUUCAUUAAAAAUCUAAUUUUUUUAUGGAAAAAUUGAUUCUAAAAAUACAACUUUUAAGAGAUCUUCUUAAAAAGGGAUGACCUUAUGUUUAUCUAAGCAUAACACAACCUUUUGGACCUAUCUUCUUUUAAAAGGCUCCCCUCUAUAAUAAUUUGCUAAAAUAGGUAUUAUGCUACAAUAUUUUUUAAUCUUCUUGUUAAAUAUACAACAACAACAACAACAAAGCCUUAGUCCCAAAAUGAUUUGGGGUCGGCUAACAUGAAUCGUCGUACGAGAUCGUCAUUGUCACCAAUAAAACCAGAAAGGAGCAGGAAGUAAAAAGAAAAAGCAAGGAAGAGAAGGUGGAAUUAAUGAAAGUAA